UACGGAGGGUGGCAAGCGUUAAUCGGAAUUACUGGGCGUAAAGCGCACGUAGGUGGUUUGUUAAGUCAGCUGUGAAAUCCCCGGGCUCAACCUGGGCACUGCAGUUGAAACUGGCAAGCUAGAGUAGGGUAGAGGGGUGUGGAAUUCCAGGUGUAGCGGUGAAAUGCGUAGAUAUCUGGAGGAACAUCAGUGGCGAAGGCGACACCCUGGACUCAUACUGACACUGAGGAACGAAAGCUAGGGGAGCAAACAGG
rnacentral:rRNA from 1 species